rnacentral:rRNA from 1 species
CCUACGGGAGGCAGCAGUGAGGAAUAUUGGUCAAUGGACGCAAGUCUGAACCAGCCAUGCCGCGUGAAGGAUGACGGCUCUAUGAGUGGUAAACUGCUUUUGUACGAGGGUAAACCCCGAUACGUGUACCGGGUUGAAAGUAUCGUACGAAUAAGGAUCGGCUAACUCCGUGCCAGCAGCCGCGGUAAUACGGAGGGUCCGAGCGUUAUCCGGAUUUAUUGGGUUUAAAGGGUGCGGAGGCGGUUUGUUAAGUUAGAGGUGAAAUGUCGGGGCUCAACCCCGGAACUGCCUGUAAUACUGGCAGACUAGAGAAUAGUUGAGGUAGGCGGAAUGUAUGGUGUAGCGGUGAAAUGCUUAGAGAUC